rnacentral:lncRNA from 1 species
UUUAUUAGUGAAUUUAAAGUAACCAAGAAAAUACCAACUUUUUUCAUCCUUUUUUUUCUCCAAUCAGAGGCAGUGGGACUCUUGUGAGCAACCUUCAUACAGUGAACUUUUACAGGAGCUUGAGAUCAAAUGUGCAGUGAAGCGGCUUUUCACCGGGACCCUGCAGCUUCCCAGGUUGUCAUGCCGACGCUCUCCACAGACCGGAGCGGAGGAUGGAGCCUCACCUGGACCUACAGGCCGAAGCAUCAAACCCUCUAGGAGCCUGGGGACCCUGACAAGCUGCAUGCCCAGAGGCUUGGCUCCGCUUGUACAGGACUGUAAAGGUGCGUCACAAACCACAGCAUCCCAUCACAACAAGCACCUUCCAGCCCUGGUUUCAUCACAGCACGUCUGUGCCGUCCAUUAUGUACAAACACACCUGUUGAGUUCAGAAGUGGUGCAUGCAGGUCAGCAGACAGCGAGCUCAGCCGUGUACAACCAUGUCCUUGUUUGUUUACCCUCUGUGUCUCUUUCAGCAUCCAGAACCCCACCCCUUAUCCCUCCCCCUGCCUCCCUCUCAAGGGAGAUAGUGUUGUUUGUUGUUUUAGCAUGAGUUUGGUCCCACCACUCUCAGGAGAGCACAGCUCCGCCAUGGUCGACACGGGAGCAUCUGAUUGGAGAAGAGCCCUGCAGCUGUUUUUUUUCCUCCACCAGGAAUAACUUCACUCAGCUGCUGAUGGUUGAUCGCUCAGACUUGCUUUAGACGGCUGGUUUCCUGCCGAGGUGGAUGGAUGGAACUCCAAAGAGAAUGGGGAUUUUUCUGGAAUGACUGGAGUGUUUAAGUUCCUGGAUCAUUUGGAAAAUUGAAGAGAAUUAAAAAAAGAGAAGAAAUAUUGUAUGUUGAUGCAGCUGAAAGAGGACUGAAUGAAUGAGUACUGACAGCCAACACAUCCUCUAGUAGAAGGGUCUAAAUCUGGCCCCUCACCUUCCCUGUGACUGAGAUGAUGUGCUGACCCGGAGUCUGUAUGGUCCGUACUCUUUGCCUUUUAAGGCUCAUCCCACCCACACAUGCAACAGACUGCAGCUUGAUCCUCCUCACUGAUUUCCUACAAUCUACUAAAACAAAUGGACAUAUCUUCAUGUAGAGACUAAAUCAUUACUUUGUAAUUUCAUGUCACACUUUGGAUUUUCUCUGCUCCUGGUCUUACGUUGUGUUGUAACCUGGGGUUUGCAUUUUGCAUGUUUUUCAAUUGUUAUUCCUGGAUCUUCUCAUCAUCCUCUUGAAUGAACUAUUCUGGUGCCAAAAAAGUUAGAUGGACAGCCUCUUUCCCUCAACACUGACUUCACUGAUGACAAAAAGGCUCAUCGUUUUCUCCUGCUGAUUUUUAAAGAAAGUAACAACAUGAAUAAGGAAUCCCGUUUUUCCCGGAAGAUGCACGGCAGCUUCUCCACGCGCAGACACUCCUGUAUUGGGUAAGUUUCUGAUUGUUUAGGGAGAGGAACAGCAAAACACGUGUCUUCAGAUUUGACUGGAAUGAGGCUUUUACUUUGAAGGAACAGAUGUGUCAGGACUUUUUGGAGCAUGUUUCUCUGUGACAUUUGUUCACAAGCUGCUGUUUGUGUGACUGAGGUUUCUCUGUUUUUAGAAAGGGAAAAUAAGAAAUUUUUAGGUUUCUAAUGCAGUUCUAAAUCAGAGAGAAGUCCAUUUAAUGACCUUAAAAUGGGUGCA